UAAGACGUGGCCGUGUGGUUAAGGCGAUUGACUUGAAAUGUAUAUCCCGUGAAGACGUAGGUUCGAUUCCUAAAGUCUUCA
rnacentral:tRNA from 1 species